AGAGGUUGAUCAUGGCUCAGAACGAACGCUGGCGGCGUGCCUAACACAUGCAAGUCGAGCGAGAAGCCCGCAAGGGUGUAAAGCGGCGCACGGGUGCGUAACACGUGGGUAAUCUGCCCUGAAGUCCGGAAUAACUCGCCGAAAGGCGUGCUAAUGCCGGAUGAGACCACGGGAGCUUCGGCUCCUGCGGGAAAAGGUUAUAAUCACUUCAGGAUGAGCCCGCGGCCCAUCAGCUCGUUGGCGGGGUAAUGGCCCACCAAGGCUACGACGGGUAGCUGGUCUGAGAGGACGAUCAGCCACACUGGAACCGAGACACGGUCCAGACUCCUACGGGAGGCAGCAGUGGGGAAUCUUGCGCAAUGGGCGAAAGCCUGACGCAGCAACGCCGCGUGUGUGAUGAAGGUCUUCGGAUCGUAAAGCACUGUCGCGAGGGACGAUAAUGACGGUACCUCGAGAGGAAGCACCGGCUAACUCUGUGCCAGCAGCCGCGGUAAUACAGAGGGUGCAAGCGUUGUUCGGAAUUAUUGGGCGUAAAGCGCGUGUAGGCGGCUUUGUAAGUUGGGUGUGAAAGCCCUCGGCUCAACCGAGGAAGUGCGCCCGAAACUGCAGAGCUUGAGUGCCGGAGAGGGUGGCGGAAUUCCCCAAGUAGAGGUGAAAUUCGUAGAUAUGGGGAGGAACACCGGUGGCGAAGGCGGCCACCUGGACGGUAACUGACGCUGAGACGCGAAAGCGUGGGGAGCAAACAGGAUUAGAUACCCUGGUAGUCCACGCCGUAAACGAUGAGAACUAGGUGUCGUGGGGUUGACCCGCGGUGCCGUANCUAACGCAUUAAGUUCUCCGCCUGGGAAGUACGGUCGCAAGACUAAA
rnacentral:rRNA from 1 species